UACAGAGGUGGCAAGCGUUGUUCGGAAUUACUGGGCGUAAAGGGCGCGUAGGCGGCCAUCUAAGUCAGACGUGAAAUCCCUCGGCUUAACCGGGGAACUGCGUCCGAUACUGGUUGGCUUGAGUUUGGGAGAGGGAUGCGGAAUUCCAGGUGUAGCGGUGAAAUGCGUAGAUAUCUGGAGGAACACCGGUGGCGAAGGCGGCAUCCUGGACCAAUACUGACGCUGAGGAGCGAAAGCCAGGGGAGCAAACGGG
rnacentral:rRNA from 1 species